GCGCACCAGUCGAGAAAACUUCACACUGUGCGAAAGCACGGUGAGGGAAUCCCAAGUGCUUGCACGUAAGUGUAAGCUGUUUCUCUGUCUAAAACGCAGAGAGAGUAAGGGCUGGGUAAGACGGGUGCCAGCCGCCGCGGUAAUACCUGCAGCUCAAGUGGUGACCGUUAUUAUUGGGCCUAAAACGUCCGUAGCCGGUUUAAUAAAUGCCUGGGUAAAUUGUGUAGCUUAACUAUACGAAUUCCGGGUAGACUGUUAAACUUGAGACCGGGAGAAGUUAGAGGUACUCCUGGGGUAGAGGUGAAAUUCUGUAAUCCUAGGGGGACCACCAGUGGCGAAGGCGUCUAACUAGAACGGGUCUGACGGUGAGGGACGAAGCCCUGGGGCGC
rnacentral:rRNA from 1 species